AAAAAGGAGCUCACUCCUCCUGGCCUGGUCUGGCCCAGCCCGGUUCCCUUUUCCAGCCCAGGCAGCAAGAGUGUCCACCCGCCGUGGGGGCUCUGGGCAGGAUAUCAUCGUAUACUGGUGCGGGGCAGCGAGUUUCCCCUUCUGGAGUGGGACUGAGCACACGAGGAGAAACCUGCCCGGGAACUCUGUUCUUCUCUCCUAGAAGCUGC
rnacentral:lncRNA from 1 species